CCCAACACACAAAACAAGCGGUGAAUGCUUUGGGGUGGGGUGACUGCGUACCUUUUGUAUAAUGGGUCAGCGACUUAUAUUCUGUAGCAAGGUUAACCGAAUAGGGGAGCCGGAGGGAAACCGAGUCUUAAUUGGGCGUUAAGUUGCAGGGUAUAGACCCGAAACCCGGUGAUCUAGCCAUGGGCAGGUUGAAGGUUGGGUAACACUAACUGGAGGACCGAACCGACUAAUGUUGAAAAAUUAGCGGAUGACCUGUGGCUGGGGGUGAAAGGCCAAUCAAACCGGGAGAUAGCUGGUUCUCCCCGAAAGCUAUUUAGGUAGCGCCUCGUGAAUUCAUCUCCGGGGGUAGAGCACUGUUUCGGCUAGGGGGCCAUCCCGGCUUACCAACCCGAUGCAAACUGCGAAUACCGGAGAAUGUUAUCACGGGAGACACACGGCGGGUGCUAACGUCCGUCGUGAAGAGGGAAACAACCCAGACCGCCAGCUAAGGUCCCAAAGUCAUGGUUAAGUGGGAAACGAUGUGGGAAGGCCCAGACAGCCAGGAUGUUGGCUUAGAAGCAGCCAUCAUUUAAAGAAAGCGUAAUAGCUCACUGGUCGAGUCGGCCUGCGCGGAAGAUGUAACGGGGCUAAACCAUGCACCGAAGCUGCGGCAGCGAACGUAUCACCCAAGACAACUUUACGGAGUUGACGAUUGACGGAGCGAAGCGACGUCAAAGCGUUCAUUAAAGUCGAGUUGGCUUAGGGAUACGUUCGUUGGGUAGGGGAGCGUUCUGUAAGCCUGUGAAGGUGUGUCGUGAGGCAUGCUGGAGGUAUCAGAAGUGCGAAUGCUGACAUAAGUAACGAUAAAGCGGGUGAAAAGCCCGCUCGCCGGAAGACCAAGGGUUCCUGUCCAACGUUAAUCGGGGCAGGGUGAGUCGACCCCUAAGGCGAGGCCGAAAGGCGUAGUCGAUGGGAAACGGGUUAAUAUUCCCGUACUUGGUGUUACUGCGAAGGGGGGACGGAGAAGGCUAUGUUGGCCGGGCGACGGUUGUCCCGGUUUAAGCGUGUAGGUGUGUGUUCCAGGUAAAUCCGGUUCACUUUAACACUGAGGCGUGACGACGAGGCACUACGGUGCUGAAGCAACAAAUGCCCUGCUUCCAGGAAAAGCCUCUAAGCAUCAGGUAACAUCAAAUCGUACCCCAAACCGACACAGGUGGUCAGGUAGAGAAUACCAAGGCGCUUGAGAGAACUCGGGUGAAGGAACUAGGCAAAAUGGUGCCGUAACUUCGGGAGAAGGCACGCUGACACGUAGGUGAAGUGAUUUACUCAUGGAGCUGAAGUCAGUCGAAGAUACCAGCUGGCUGCAACUGUUUAUUAAAAACACAGCACUGUGCAAACACGAAAGUGGACGUAUACGGUGUGACGCCUGCCCGGUGCCGGAAGGUUAAUUGAUGGGGUCAGCGCAAGCGAAGCUCCUGAUCGAAGCCCCGGUAAACGGCGGCCGUAACUAUAACGGUCCUAAGGUAGCGAAAUUCCUUGUCGGGUAAGUUCCGACCUGCACGAAUGGCGUAAUGAUGGCCAGGCUGUCUCCACCCGAGACUCAGUGAAAUUGAACUCGCUGUGAAGAUGCAGUGUACCCGCGGCAAGACGGAAAGACCCCGUGAACCUUUACUAUAGCUUGACACUGAACAUUGAGCCUUGAUGUGUAGGAUAGGUGGGAGGCUUUGAAGUGUGGACGCCAGUCUGCAUGGAGCCGACCUUGAAAUACCACCCUUUAAUGUUUGAUGUUCUAACGUGGACCCGUAAUCCGGGUUGCGGACAGUGUCUGGUGGGUAGUUUGACUGGGGCGGUCUCCUCCUAAAGAGUAACGGAGGAGCACGAAGGUUGGCUAAUCCUGGUCGGACAUCAGGAGGUUAGUGCAAUGGCAUAAGCCAGCUUGACUGCGAGCGUGACGGCGCGAGCAGGUGCGAAAG
rnacentral:rRNA from 1 species